rnacentral:tRNA from 1 species
CCGAGUCAACAUCGUGGUACGGCGUCGGACUAGAAUAUGAUUAAAUAUCAAGAAGAUAGGGAUGCGUUGGGAUGUCGAUCAAUAUCGAUCUAAACAAUAGACUGCGGCCUUCUAAGCCGUAGGUCACACGUUCGAAUCGUGUAGGGCGGGCCA